UCUGAUCUUGUUUUUGGCUGAGUUUCAUGUGGUAAAUAGUGCUCUUAUAAUGGUCCUUGGAAGAGCAAAGGUGAAUCUGCAGUGACAGAGUAGUGGAUUACAUUAUGUAUCAUUCUGAAUAAUUCCAUAGCAUUGCCUGAGGAUGAUUUAGUUUAGCUGUUGCAGUAUCCACUUUGCAUUGAUAAUCUUCUCUUGGGCAGAUACACAGAUGGAAGGACUGGGAAACGGAUACGACAUCGGCUGAGUAUGCCUUCACGACUGGUAUAUAUAUGUUCACUAUUUUUUGUUUUUUUGUCCCAGAUUUGCAUCCUUGGAUCCUAGUUUGAGUGGUAAAAGUGUAGAACCAGUAUAUCGUGAUGCAAAAGGGAAAGCUAUUUCAAAGGAAGAGCUACUGAAACCAAAGGAGGGAGAGAAACCAAAGG